CGCACAUUGCGCCCUUUGGUAUUCCGAAGGGCAUGCCUGUUCGAGCGUCAUUGCAACCCUCAAGCGAAGCUUGGUAUUGGAAACCGUCCCCGGACGUAUCCGAAAUUUAGUGGCGGUCUAGCGAGACUUCAAGCGAACAAGAUUUUACAUCCCGCUUUGCAAGCACCUCGUCGGUUUAGCCAAUCAAAUACAUUUUCACGGUUGACCUCGGAUCAGGUAGGGAUACCCGCUGAACUUAA
rnacentral:misc_RNA from 1 species